CUUCACUGGUAGUUCAUACUUGGUGACAUAUCAUUUGCAUACUUAAAUCUUUAGACAAUGUUUUUCUUUAGCUUGUUGAACAUAUUUUUAAUUAUUGACUUAAUGUCUGUAUCUACUAAGUCCAACAUCUGAAUUUCCUCAGGGAAUAUUUCUACUGACUUCUUUUUCUGUGUAUGUGUCAUACUUUCCUGUUUAUUUGUAUAUCUUAUCACUUUUUUGUUGAAACUGGACUUUUUACAUGUAGUGAGACAAUUAUGUAAACCAACUUUUCUCCAUUCCACAGUUUAUUUUAGUUGCUGUUUCCUAUUGUUGCUCUUGUUUUUUUUUUUUUUACAUGAUUUUUCUGAACAAAUUCUGUAAAGUUAAUGUGUCCUAUAGUAUGUGGAUAUUGAAGUACCACUUGCUUCACAGUAUGCAGAUAAUAAAUAGAGAAUUCCUUAAAUGCCUCCAACCAACAUGUCUCUAACCCUUUACUAAGGACAUUGUGUGUGCCUGUUGUGGUUCACAUUUAGUACUCAAGUAGUUUACUACUUUUCCUUAGCAGGAAGCAGGAGGCUAAGGCCUCCUGCUUGCACAGAACCUCAUGGAAAUCAAGAGGUAAGCAAUUAGGGUAUUUCCUAAUGUUUCCUGUGACAGCCUACAACUCUGUACAUGCAUGUGAACUUCUAGAUACAAAGGAAUGUGUCAGAGCUUUUCAAAUCUCCCUUUGAGCCUUUGAACAUUAAUUUCUAAGACAUUUACUUUCUCUUCUCCUUCUUUCUUUCCUCCCCCACCCCCUUUCUUUCUUUCUGUUCCUGACUGCUUUAAAUUCUUCAGGCUUUUGUGAGACUCAGUUUCUAUGGAUUCCUGUUGAUUGUGAUUUCCUCACUGAGAGAGCUCUGUGUCAGUUCAAAGAAGUAUAAAUCUUAAAAAUGAGGUUUUUCUAGUGAGCUUCCAGAGAGGUCAAAUAGUUAUAAUUCUCUAGGAAUUAAACAUUUUUGGGGAUUGUACAAAACCCUUUUCUCCUCCCACCACUGCCAUCCUGCUUGUUUUCAAGGAUACCACCGUGUUUCAGGGGAGGAAUAUGGGAAGGAGACAUGUUAAAAUUCC
rnacentral:lncRNA from 1 species